rnacentral:RNase_P_RNA from 1 species
GAAGCUGACCAGACAGUCGCCGCUUCGUCGUCGUCCUUUCGGGGAGACGGGCGGAGGGGAGGAAAGUCCGGGCUCCAUAGGGCAGGGUGCCAGGUAACGCCUGGGGGGGAAACCCACGACCAGUGCAACAGAGAGCAGACCGCCGAUGGCCCACGUAAGUGGGAUCAGGUAAGGGUGAAAGGGUGCGGUAAGAGCGCACCGCGCGGCUGGUAACAGUCCGUGGCACGGUAAACUCCACCCGGAGCAAGGCCAAAUAGGGGUUCAUAAGGUACGGCCCGUACUGAACCCGGGUAGGCUGCUUGAGCCAGUGAGCGAUUGCUGGCCU